rnacentral:lncRNA from 1 species
CAUCUCUGCACUUUGCUUAUGCCCUUCCUCCUGCCUGAAAUUGUCUUUCUUCCUUGCUUAGCUGGAAAAUUCAACCUUUACAGCCCAGAGAAGCAUUUAUGAGCGUCUAUUCUAUGUGACUACAGCUCCACUAAGUGACACCAAACAAGAUUCCUGGAGGAAGGAAAACAGAGUGCAGCUGGCAGAGACUGAAGGAAGUGCUGC